rnacentral:lncRNA from 1 species
CAAGUCUUAUUGAAUACGUUGGGUCGGAAGCCAGAGGAAGCGACUGUUGUGAUGAUGAGGAACAGCAACAACGGCCUAAAGAGUUAGAGAACUCAAAUAAAAGGUGAAGCUUACGUAUUAUUCUCUGGAUUUGUCAGCCAGUGUGCAUUUGAACACAAUUUCAGUUUAUGAAUUUUGUCAAGAGUUGAAUUUUGCGAUUUCUCAUUAGUUGAAAAGUAAUGAAAGAGGGGCAAAAAAAACUUACAAGACUGAAAUGAAUCCUCUGUUUUUUUGAUUUUUUAUAAAUAUAGUACACAUUUAACUGAAAACCAUUAAUUUUACAACAACAGUACCUUUAUUUUAUUUGCAUCAAAGGCAUGAAAAUGACUCGCUGAGGGGUUUUGAUCUUGAAUGAGAUGAGGAGUUAACUAUGAGGUAAUGACUCACAAUCUUACAUUCCCUACUUAUUGCACGAAAGAUGCCGGAUGCAGAGCUAGUUUUCGGUAUACUUGAAGGGGCUGCGUAAUGAUUGAUUUAUAAAGGAAAAUGGAAUGUAAUAAUAAAUGUAAGAUUAAAAUUUUUCUAGUGGUGUUUAGAAGAUUUUCAAUGUUUAAACAGCUAAGCUAGCCUUACCAUAAGGAUCAUAUCAUAU